rnacentral:tRNA from 1 species
CAUUAGGAAGCUAUGCCACAGCACUAGCCUUUUAAGCUAGAAAUAGAGGACCACUAAACCUCCCUAAUGA